UACGUAGGUGGCGAGCGUUGUCCGGAUUUACUGGGCGUAAAGGGAGCGUAGGCGGACUUUUAAGUGAGAUGUGAAAUACCCGGGCUCAACUUGGGUGCUGCAUUUCAAACUGGAAGUCUAGAGUGCAGGAGAGGAGAAUGGAAUUCCUAGUGUAGCGGUGAAAUGCGUAGAGAUUAGGAAGAACACCAGUGGCGAAGGCGAUUCUCUGGACUGUAACUGACACUGAGGCACGAAAGCGUGGGGGAGCAAACAGGAUUAGAUACCCU
rnacentral:rRNA from 1 species